CAUAUCAAUAAGCGGAGGAAAAGAAACCAACAGGGAUUGCCUUAGUAACGGCGAGUGAAGCGGCAAUAGCUCAAAUUUGAAAGCUGGCCCCUUCGGGGUCCGCGUUGUAAUUUGUAGAGGAUGAUUCGGCGAGGGCUCCCGUCUAAGUCCCUUGGAACAGGGCGUCAUAGAGGGUGAGAAUCCCGUAUGUGAUGGGCUGCCUUAGCCAUGUGAAUCUCCUUCGACGAGUCGAGUUGUUUGGGAAUGCAGCUCUAAAUGGGAGGUAAAUUUCUUCUAAAGCUAAAUACCGGCCAGAGACCGAUAGCGCACAAGUAGAGUGAUCGAAAGAUGAAAAGCACUUUGGAAAGAGAGUUAAAAAGUACGUGAAAUUGUUGAAAGGGAAGCGCUUGCAGCCAGACUUGUCCGCAGUUGCUCAGCUUGUCUCCUGACAGGCGUACUCUUCUGCGGCCAGGCCAGCAUCAGUUCGGGCGGUCGGAUAAAGACCUAGGGAAUGUAGCUCCUCUCGGGGAGUGUUAUAGCCCUGGGUGCAAUGCGGCCAGCCUGGACUGAGGAUCUCGCUUCGGCUAGGAUGCUGGCGUAAUGGCUGUAAGCGGCCCGUCUUGAAACACGGACCAAGGAGUCUAACAUCUAUGCGAGUGUUUGGGUGUCAAACCCAUGCGCGUAAUGAAAGUGAACGGAGGUGGGAACCCUCACGGGUGCACCAUCGACCGAUCCUGAUGUCUUCGGAUGGAUUUGAGUAAGAGCAUAGCUGUUGGGACCCGAAAGAUGGUGAACUAUGCCUGAAUAGGGUGAAGCCAGAGGAAACUCUGGUGGAGGCUCGCAGCGGUUCUGACGUGCAAAUCGAUCGUCAAAUUUGGGUAUAGGGGCGAAAGACUAAUCGAACCAUCUAGUAGCU
rnacentral:rRNA from 2 species